rnacentral:tRNA from 1 species
GAGAAGUGGCCGAGCCAAUAUGAGGCUUCUAACCACAUAAAGAGAGGUUUGACUCCUUUCACUUCUCU